rnacentral:rRNA from 1 species
AACGAACGCUGGCGGCAGGCUUAACACAUGCAAGUCGAACGAGAUCUUCGGAUCUAGUGGCAGACGGGUGAGGAACACGUGGGAACAUCCCUUUCAGUUCGGAAUAACGUUGGGAAACUAACGCUAAUACCGGAUACGUCCUUCGGGAGAAAGAUUUAUCGCUGAAAGAUUGGCCCGCGUCUGAUUAGCUAGUUGGUGAGGUAACGGCUCACCAAGGCUACGAUCAGUAGCUGAUCUGAGAGGAUUAUCAGCCACAUUGGGACUGAGACACGGCCCAAACUCCUACGGGAGGCAGCAGUGGGGAAUAUUGGACAAUGGGCGCAAGCUUGAUCCAGCCAUGCCGCGUGAGUGAUGACGGCCUUCGGGUUGUAAAGCUCUUUUGUCCGGGAAGAUAAUGACUGUACCGGAAGAAUAAGCCCCGGCAAACUUCGUGCCAGCAGCCGCCGUAA